rnacentral:rRNA from 1 species
AAUAAGUGACAAAACAGUACGUAACCUACGGGAGGCAGCAGUGGGGAAUUUUCAGAAAUGGGCGAAAGCCUGACGGAGCAAUGCCGCGUGGAUAUUAGAAGGCCCACGGGUCGUGAACUUCUUUUCCGCGGAGAAGAAGCGAAUUGGACC